rnacentral:lncRNA from 1 species
GGGUUUUUCUUUGUUUCUUUCUUUCUUUCUUUCUUCUUUUUCCUCCCCUUUGAACUGGAAAAUGGCCCACUUCCCACUGGCGAAAACUCAGGAAAUUUGGCAGGACGACCGGGCCUGGUGAAAAAUUCGAUAUUCUGAAGUCGCCCAAACAAUAAAAUGCAAAAUGGCUCCAUAGCGCCCCCUAAGGUGGAAAUUCACACUAUUGACUGUCACGCCUGUACGCUUUGUCAUAUUGACACAAAAAUUGACACACAUAUGUAUCUCAAUAAGAUCUACAAAAAAGUCAGUGCGGCCGUAUCUGUCAAAUGUACGGUUAAAGGGUUAUUUCGCAUUUUUUUCCGAUCCGCACACAUUGGAAUUUUGCUAACUCCUCCAAAGGCUUUCGUUCCACCGGCACCACAUUUGCUCAGGCCAAUCUACACCCCGUGGCCAUUAAAAGUUAUCAAAAUCAUGACGCUGCACCCCAAGGUUUAGGUUCUAGGGGGCGCCAAAGAUAACACUAAAAUCCACAUAUUUAGAAGUCUUAUAACUUUUUAUUUUUGUCCUCACUGGCCUCCAAGUUUUCUAGGAUGAUGCAAUGUCCAGCCAUAAACACAUUUGUGAAGGAAUUUUUACUCCCCAAAAGAGCGCCCCCCCAUGGCAGGAGAAAAAAGUCCAUUUUUUCUUGUCCCCUAAGGUGAAAAUACACAUUGUUGACUGUCACGCCUUUACGCUUUGUCAAAAUGACACAAAAAUUGACACACACAUGUAACUCAAUAAGAUCUACGAAAAAGUCAACGCGCACGUAUCUGUCAAAUGUACGGUUAAAGGGUUAUUCCGCAUUUUUUGCCGAUCCGCACACAUUGGAAUUUCGCUAACUCCUCCGAAGGCUUUCUGUCCACCGGCACCACAUUUGCUCAGGCCAAUCUACACCCCAUGGCCAUUAAAAGUUAUUCAAAUCAUGACGCUGCACCCCACGGUUUAGGUUCUAGGGGGCGCCAAAGACAACCCUAAAAUCCACAUAUUUAAAAGUCUUAUAACUUUUUAUUUUUGUCCUCACUGGCCUCCAAGUUUUCUAGGAUGAUGCAAUGUCCAGCCAUCAACACAUUUGUGAAGGAAUUUUUACUCCCCAAAAGAGCGCCCCCCCCAUGGCAGGAGAAAAAAGUCCAUUUUUUCUUGUCCCCUAAGGUGAAAAUUCACAUUGUUGAGUGUGACACCUGUACGCUUUGUCAUAUUGACACAAAAUUUGACAAUCACGUGUAUCUCAAUAAGAUCUACGAAAAAGUCAAUGCACGCGUAUCUGUCAAAUGUACGGUUAGAGGGCUAUUUUGCAUUUUUUGCCGAUUCGCACACAUUGGAAUGUGGCUAACUCCUCCUAAGGCUUUUGUCCCACUGACACCAAAUUUCCUCAGACCAAUCUACACCCCAUGGCCAUUCAAAGUUGUAAAAAUCAUGACGCUGCACCCCACGGUUAACGUUCUAGGGGGCGCCAAAGAUGACCCAAAUAUCCACAUUCUUAAAAGAAUCCACAUCCCCCCCCCAUCCCCCCCCAUGGCAGGAGAAAAAGUCAAGUUUUUCCUGCCCAUCGCUCAAUGGCCCAAUCGCAUCGCUCUCCAGGCAACACCGUAAGUAGGAGCAACCCGCAAUUUGGAUAUAUCCUAGCUGUGUUUGUGCCCUCACUCAUGGUCCAGACUUUGUUCAAAUAGGACAUGAAGUUUGUCUGCAGCGAGCGUUUUGGUAGAAACUGCGCCUCCCAUUCAUUAUAAUGGGAAAUGACCACAGACAAGUGCGCACACCAUCUUUGGACCUUGAGUGUGACGCAAUCAGGAGGGGGAGGCGGUCGCGCUGGGGGCGGCGCGACGCGGCUCGGGCCCGACAGUGCCCCACCGGGGCCCUAGUUAUUAUUUUUCCUCCCCUUUGAACUGGAAAAUGGCCCACUUCCCACUGGCGAAAACUCAUGAAAUUUGGCAGGACGACCGGGCCUGGUGAAAAAUUUGAUAUUCCGAAGUCGCCCAAACAAGAAAAUGCAAAAUGGCUCCAUAGCGCCCCCUAAGGUGAAAAUUCACACUAUUGACUGUCACGCCUGUACGCUUUGUCAAAAUGACACAAAAAUUGACACACACAUGUAUCUCAAUAAGAUCUACAAAAAAGUCAGUGCGGGCGUAUCUGUCAAAUGUACGGUUAAAGGGUUAUUUCGCAUUUUUUGCCGAUCCGCACACAUUGGAAUUUCGCUAACUCCUCCGAAGGCUUUCGUUCCACCGGCACCACAUUUGCUCAGGCCAAUCUACACCCCAUGGCCAUUAAAAGUUAUUCAAAUCAUGACGCUGCACCCCACGGUUUAGGUUCUAGGGGGCGCCAAAGAUAACCCUAAAAUCCACAUUUUUAAAAGUCUUAUAACUUUUUAUUUUUGCCCUCACUGGCCUCCAAGUUUUCUAGGAUGAUGCAAUGUCCAGCCAUCAACACAUUUGUGAAGGAAUUUUUACUCCCCAAAAGAGCGCCCCCCCAUGGCAGGAGAAAAAAGUCCAUUUUUUUCUUGUCCCCUAAGGUGAAAAUACACAUUGUUGAGUGUCACGCCUGUACGCUUUGUCAAAAUGACACAAAAAUUGACACACACAUGUAUCUCAAUAAGAUCUACAAAAAAGUCAGUGCGCGCAUAUCUGUCUAAUGUACGGUUAAAGGGUUAUUCCGCAUUUUUUGCCGAUUCGCACACAUUGGAAUUUCGCUAACUCCUCCGAAGGCUUUCGUUCCACCGGCACCACAUUUGCUCAGGCCAAAUUACACCCCAUGGCCAUUAAAAGUUAUUCAAAUCAUGACGCUGCACCCCACGGUUUACGUUCUAGGGGGCGCCAAAGAUAACCCAAAAAUCCACAUUUUUAAAAGUCUUAUAACUUUUUAUUUUUGUCCUCACUGGCCUCCAAGUUUUCUAGGAUGAUGCAAUGUCCAGCCAUCAACACAUUUGUGAAGGAAUUUUUACUCCCCAAAAGAGUGCCCCCCCCCAUGGCAGGAGAAAAAAGUCCAUUUUUUCUUGUCCCCUAAGGUGAAAAUACACAUUGUUGACUGUCACGCCUGUACGCUUUGGCAAAAUGACACAAAAAUUGACAAUCAUGUGUAUCUCAAUUAGAUCUACGAAAAAGUCAAAGAGCGCGUAUCUGUAUAAUGUACGGUAAAAGGGCUAUUUUGCAUUUUUUGCCGAUUCGCACACAUUGGAAUUUCGCUAACUCCUCCUAAGGCUUUCGUCCCACUGACACCAAAUUUGCUCAGGCCAAUCUACACUCCAUGGCCAUUCAAAGUUGUAAAAAUCAUGACGCUGCACCCCACGGUUUACGUUUUAGGGGGCGCCAAAGAUGACCCAAAUAUACAUUACAGUAGACAAAGUAGUUUUGCCCACUGAGUGGCGCCAAAGGGACUUGUCUGUGGAGUCUGUGAGUCACUAUUGGCCGUUUUUGACUACUUUAGAUUUUACCUUUAUAUUUCCUCUUACAAAAUUUUUACCUUGCCUUGCCUGGUAUCAUUUUUUUCAGCACAACCUCACCUGUGUCAAUUUACAGUUAUUUUAUCAUUUUGACAUACUAUAUUUACACAUUGGACCCAAAUUCACACACAAAACAUAAAAUCCGAGUGGAAAAAAGUAACGUUUUUACUGUGAAAACCACAAAUAUGUGUGAUGAACUGUUUUUAAAACUUAAACUUCAAAUAAAAAUUGUAAACUUCAAAACAUAUGCAAAUUUUUAACAAAGAACAUAGUAAUUUACCUCUAUUGACAUCAAAAUGCAGGCAAUGGCCCAGGUGUUCUUUGUAAAAUUAUUUACAAAACACUGUAUAGUCUCACAAAUGUCACUUUAUAUUUAUGCCACUACAAAAAAACAUGAUGUAAAUGAUGCAUGAUGUAAAACAUGAUGUAAAAAACUUGUGUAGAUCCUCCUCUAUGUUAGUCCAUGUGUAAUUUUUCCAUAAUUCUUUGUUUUUUGCAGCAUUUUUGUUAGUGUAACUGCAGAUUGUGCUGACAGUGUCUAUGGCAAAAAAAAAAAAAAAAACUGAAAAUGCCUCAACAUGAACCCCUGGUGGUCUCUGAGGGUGAAACCUGCUAACUGCUGCAGCUCUGUCAGCUUCAGUCUCCCAUGCAGAGCUCGGAGCGCAUGUGUGGCUCUGCACCCUUAGCAGCGUUGCUAACUCCUCAGUAAGGAAAGCCUGCUUCAUGUCAGAGUCUCUAAACUCCAGAAGAAGUCGAUAAAAGUCACUUUCUUUCUAAAAAAAAGUCGUUAGGGGGUCUGAAAAGUCAUUGAAUCUAACAACAAAGUCGCUAGGUUUGCAACUACGUGUCCCAGACUGCAUCCCUGCUGAGAGUCCCUCCCUCCCUUCUCAUAUUGCAGGAAGAACGUAAGUUCCCGCCCCUUGUCAAUCAGUCACCAUAUAAUUUUGGAUUGGUUGUUGUGGUGAAGUUUUCCACCAAUAGGAGAGAUGUUGUGGUGUGUUUUUUUUUUCCUUUGGCAAGCCUUUUCCGCCUGUAAGACCUGUCGCUAAUGUCUGCAUGCUAUGUUUUCCUGUCUCAUACAGCGCGAUCGAGCGCCGAACGUGAUCAAAAUAAGCAGAAAACAAGUAUCGUGGACAUAAUUUAUCAUAACUCUGGUUUUAUUUGGCCUAUCAACACAAUUUAAAAACUGGUAUAUAGGUUGAGGUCCUCACUUUUGAGAUAAAUUGAAACGGAGAGUCAACGAGGCUCCGUCUUGCAGCUACAUCCGGUUAAAUAUGUCAUGUGACUUGAACGCGCACACACACACACACACACACACACACACACACACACACACACACACGCACACACACACACACUCAGAGUCUGGUUUUUAGCACCUGCAAAAACAUGCUAUUUACAUAUUUGACAAGAAUGCAGAGGCUCCUUUUGCCCCUGAAAAAAAUCAAAUUUCAAACACAACUUGACUGGUCAUUUCUCCAAAAGACAACCAUGAAGCUCCAUCCAAACCUGAAGCAGGCAGUUGGUGCAUGUGUACAGUAACCUGAGGGGAGUGAGGUGACUGCUUCUGAGGAGAACAUGAGCAGUGAAGAUUCACCUUAGAGCUAGAACAGAGACGUGCACAUGAUUAUACAGGGGCAGGGGCUCAAGUUUUUUCCAGUUGUUUAUACAAUAUGGAAAUUAAUGUGAAAUUAAAACACAAAGUAUUAAUAGAAAGGUAAUGACUGUCCUGUGUAGGUGACAGUGAUAUCCAAUAGGCUAGGCACUCACGAGGCUGGCUGUGGCAAGUGUAAGUGAAAGCAACACGCACUGGCAGGAAGAACAGCAAACGCCGAUGAAGGAAAAGGGUCUUUGCAGUGAUGGGCGUUACCAGAGAGGGCGAUGGCCAGAGGACACAAAUGGGACGGGGAGGCAGCGCGUUGGGGGGGGGACGCGACACAGCUCGGGCCCGCCAGUGCCCCAACGGGGUCCUAGUUCUUUCUUUCUUUCUUUCUUUCUUCUUUUUCCUCCCCUUUGAACUGGAAAAUGGCCCACUUCCCACUGGCGAAAACUCAUGAAAUUUGGCAGGACGACCGGGCCUGGUGAAAAAUUCGAUAUUCUGAAGUCGCCCAAACAAUAAAAUGCAAAAUGGCUCCAUAGCGCCCCCUAAGGUGGAAAUUCACACUAUUGACUGUCACGCCUGUACGCUUUGUCAUAUUGACACAAAAAUUGACACACAUAUGUAUCUCAAUAAGAUCUACAAAAAAGUCAGUGCGGCCGUAUCUGUCAAAUGUACGGUUAAAGGGUUAUUUCGCAUUUUUUUCCGAUCCGCACACAUUGGAAUUUCGCUAACUCCUCCAAAGGCUUUCGUUCCACCGGCACCACAUUUGCUCAGGCCAAUCUACACCCCGUGGCCAUUAAAAGUUAUCAAAAUCAUGACGCUGCACCCCAAGGUUUAGGUUCUAGGGGGCGCCAAAGAUAACACUAAAAUCCACAUAUUUAAAAGUCUUAUAACUUUUUAUUUUUGUCCUCACUGGCCUCCAAGUUUUCUAGGAUGAUGCAAUGUCCAGCCAUCAACACAUUUGUGAAGGAAUUUUUACUCCCCAAAAGAGCGCCCCCCCAUGGCAGGAGAAAAAAGUCCAUUUUUCUUGUCCCCUAAGGUGAAAAUACACAUUGUUGAGUGUCACGCCUAUACGCUUUGUCAAAAUGACACAAAAAUUGACACACACAUCUAACUCAAUAAGAUCUACGAAAAAGUCAAUGCGCGCGUAUCUGUCAAAUGUACGGUUAAAGGGUUAUUCCGCAUUUUUUGCCGAUCCGCACACAUUGGAAUGUGGCUAACUCCUCCUAAGGCUUUCGUUCCACCGGCACCACAUUUGCUCAGGCCAAUCUACACCCCAUGGCCAUUAAAAGUUAUUCAAAUCAUGACGCUGCACCCCACGGUUUAGGUUCUAGGGGGCGCCAAAGAUAACCCUAAAAUCCAGAUAUUUCAAAGUCUUAUAACUUUUUAUUUAAGUCCUCACUGGCCUCCAAGUUUUCUAGGAUGAUGCAAUGUCCAGCCAUCAACACAUUUGUGAAGGAAUUUUUACUCCCCAAAAGAGCGCCCCAUGGCAGGAGAAAAAAGUCCAUUUUUUCUUGUCCCAUAAGGUGAAAAAACACAUUGUUGACUGUCAUACCUGUACGCUUUGUCAUAUUGACACAAAAUCUGACAAUCACAUGUAUCUCAAUAAGAUCUACGAAAAAGUCAAUGCGUGCGUAUCUGUAAAAUGUACGGUUAAAGGGCUAUUUUGCAUUUUUUGCCGAUUCGCACACAUUGGAAUGUGGCUAACUCCUCCUAAGGCUUUCGUCCCACUGACACCAAAUUUGCUCAGGCCAAUCUACACCCCAUGGCCAUUCAAAGUUGUAAAAAUCAUGACGCUGCACCCCACGGUUUACGUUCUAGGGGGCGCCAAAGAUGACCCAAAUAUCCACAUUCUUAAAAGAAUCCACCCCCCCCAUCCCCCAACCCCCAACCCCCAUG